rnacentral:rRNA from 1 species
UACGUAGGGUCCGAGCGUUGUCCGGAGUUACUGGGCGUAAAGCGCGCGCAGGCGGCCCGUGAGGUGUCACGUGAAAGCCCCGAGCUCAACUCGGGAGGGUCGUGGCAAACCGGCGGGCUUGAGGCCGGUAGAGGUGGGUGGAACUCCUGGUGGAGUGGUGAAAUGCGUAGAGAUCAGGAAGAACACCCGUGGCGAAGGCGGCCCACUGGGCCGGAACUGACGCUGAGGCGCGAAGGCGUGGGGAGCGAACGGG